rnacentral:rRNA from 1 species
UACAGAGGUCUCAAGCGUUGUUCGGAUUCAUUGGGCGUAAAGGGUGCGUAGGCGGCGCGGUAAGUCGGGUGUGAAAUCUUGGAGCUCAACUCCGAAACUGCAUUCGAUACUGCCGUGCUUGAGGACUGGAAAGGAGACUGGAAUUUACGGUGUAGCGGUGAAAUGCGUAGAUAUCGAGAGGAACACCGGUGGCGAAGGCGGCCAACUGGACGAAGACUGACGCUGAGACACGAAAGCGUGGGGAGCAAACAGG